rnacentral:rRNA from 1 species
AUGGGCUUCUGGAACGGCAAGGGCAAGCACGACCGCGAGGCCGGCUCCUCCUCGGGGCACCGCCGCGGCUUCGUGAAGAAGGAGCCCGCGUCUCCUCCGCGCUCCUCCCGUCGGGCCCCCGCGCCACCGCCGCACUCCUCCCGUCGAGCCCCCGCGCCGGCCCCCUUCACCAUUGCCCCUAGGCCCUCCGGCGAGCGCGACCGGCAGUACAUCUGCGCGGACGUGUGCCGGAGGUACUGGGAUACGAGGACGCCGGUCCCGUGGAGCGACGCCCACCUCCCCAAUGGGUGGCACCUCUCCGCGGACCGGGUCCCCAUCCCGCCAGUGCCGGCGACCGGCCGUGCACGGCGCGAUGAGAUGAACCGCCGCUGCCGCCUCCUCCCCGACGACCUGUACUACGACCACAGGUAUGCCCCCGACUCGCCGCUCUGGAACACAUGGCUCCAGGACGAGCACGACGUGCGGCGCGCGUCCUACUUCGCCGGCACCGUGUCGGGGCCGCGGAGGCCACGUGCAGAGCCGCGCAGGCGUACGCGGGUGCGUGGCCUGACGCCCACGCCGUCGCCUUCCCCGUCUCCGUCGCCCCCUCCCCCUCCUCGCAUGAUAGCGGAGGAGGAGGCCCGUCUCCUGCAGCGUGUCAUGGACGACUCCAUGAACACGCACGACGAGCGGCAGUGGGACGGCCUGGAGGAGACCAUGGCCCUCUCUGCCGCCGGGGACGUCGCCUUCCCGGAGCUGCAGCUGGCGGCCGUCACGGCGGCCGCCAAGGAGGAGCCGAUGGAGGAGGACUCGCCUGCGUUCGAGAAGCUCCUGGGCCAGGGGUGGGGCUGGUCGUGCACUGUGCCGGAGAUGGCCGCCGACCUGGGCGUGAACUGGUGCCCCACUCCGGAGCGGGAGGCGUCGCCGCGGGAGGAGAUCCACUGUCCGGCCUUCGCCAUGGACAAUGCCCCCAAAACCGUCACCAGUUUUGUGCGCUCAGUGCAGCUGGUCAAGGUCGACGGCUUCAGCUUGACGUGGAGCGUGGGCAAGGACGGUCACAUCAAAUCCAGAUGGAGCUUCGAUGGAUACGAUUGGGAAAUCCGUGUUUAUCCUGAUUGGAGCUCCGCUGUACUAGUGGAGCUUGCCUUUCUCAGCGAACCCCGCAGGGCCAGUGUGAAGCGUGCCUUUCUCAGAAAAGCUCGCAGGCCCAGUGUGAGGGUCGUUCUAGGCUGCCGGUUGGUCGAUCCGACGGGGAAGCUUGAGCCAUCCAUGGAAGUUAAUGAGCAGGGGGUGUUCCGCCGUCCCAAAGAAUGCAUCACUAAAGUCUUGAUCAAUAGAAGUUCGCUAGCAUCAUCAGGCUAUAUUAGGGGCAAUUCUUUUACUGUGCAAUGCACCAUUGACGUUCUCAAGGAAGUGCCGGCAACGGACCCGAUCAAAGAAGUGCCAGUGCCAUGCUCAAACUUGCACCAACACCUCGCUGAACUCCUGCAGAGCAAGACGGGGGCAGAUGUCACUUUUCUUGUGUCUGGCAAGUCUUUUACUGCUCAUAAGAACAUACUGGCUGCAAGAUCUCCUGUUUUCAUGGCCGAGUUCUUUGGAGACAUGAAGGAGAAGUGUGCGGGGCAUGUGGAGAUCAAGGACAUGCAAGCUGCGGUAUUCAAGGCGCUACUUCACUUCAUCUACACUGAUACUGUGCCUGAAUUCGAUGAGACGGGCAAGGAGGUGAUGGUGUUAGCUCAGCACUUGCUUGCAGCUGCUGAUAGGUACAGACUGGACAGGCUCAAGGUGAUCUGUGAAAGCGAGCUCUCUGGUGGCAUCAGUGUUGACACGGCAGCGACAUCUCUGGCUCUAGCCGAGCAGCAUAAUUGUCCACAGCUCAAGGCGAAGUGCGUCCAGUUCAUCAUUAGGAAUCGUGAGGUUCUUGAUGCUGUGCUGGCGACGGAGGGGUACAAGUAUCUGGCGGCAAGCUACCCUGCGGUGUUGUCUGACCUUCUCAAGUCAAGUCUAAGUGUGGGAGAAAGCACAAGCACUGAUGCAUAUAGUUAG